CAACUCUUGAGACUUAAUCACUUAGAGACAGUCCUCUUCACCCACCAGCCCACUUAAGAUGAUUGCCAAUAGCUUUUGCAGGUUCUCUUCACCACAGAAGAGAGGAAGAGAACCUAGACAGAGUCCAGGGAACUGGCUCUUGGCCCCACCAGGGAAUCCACUAGUAACCAAGCAGCUAUAGAGGCUGGCUUUCCCUUAACCCAUCUGGAUUGAGACUUUAACACCAUUAAAGGCUGAAGGUUGAAGGUAUUGCAAUGUGUUUACACCAUACUCAUGCCUGAAGUGCAGGCCUGUUUGCAGUUGAAGACCACCUGGACCAGCGGAGAGAAGAAAAAUGGAAGGUUAUCUACCAAGCACCCUUCCAACCCUCUCAAGCUUAAGUUACAGUGUUCCUGAUGAGCCUCUUUACCGUAUGUACUGUGAAACCCAACCCCCAUCAGCCCUUUAACCUUAGUGGGCCAUCAUCAAUACAGCCAAAGGGAAGACUGUCAACUCUACUUCCCUGGUUGUGCCCCUGAGUACUUGGUUCCUAGAUCUCCAUGUCAACUUCUGUGAUCUGACCAGUAAAGAAUGGAAUUCUCCCCUAAAAAAAAAAAAA